rnacentral:rRNA from 1 species
UACGUGAGGGCGCAAGCGUUAUUCGGAAUUACUGGGCUUAAAGGGUGCGUAGGCGGCGCAGAAAGUAGGGUGUGAAAUCCCUCGGCUCAACCCGAGGAACUGCGCCCUAAACCUACUGUGCUCGAGGGAGGUAGAGGUGAGCGGAAACUUAGGGUGGAGCGGUGAAAUGCGUUGAUAUCCUAAGGAACACCGGUGGCGAAAGCGCUCACUGGACCUCUUCUUGACGGCUGAGGCACGAAAGCUAGGGUAGCGAACGGG